UUCCGAUGACAAAAUUCUUAUUUCGAAAGACUUCAGAGGACCCACAUCACAAGCUAUCCUUCCCAGACAUUGUGAAGCUAUUUUUCUUGACCAUCAACAACAACAUUUACACCAUCACAUCAGAAUUAUUGGAUAGCGAACCCAAACUUGUUACUGUUGAAAACGAAGAGAGGUUGACGGCUUUGCAAAUGCUAGCUCAAUGUUCCCUUUGCGAGGAAACUAUUGGCUAUCGAGAGAUUGUAGAUUCUGUUUUUAAAGGCAUGGAAAAGCAGAAAGAUACUAUCAACCAUGCACAAUUGUCGAAAGCAAUGUUCGAUGCAGCAAAAUCAGGAAACACUAAUAUUUUAGAACUUCUGUUAAAGUACCAUCCUGAUUUGCUAUUUGAAGUGAAUUCUAGCAACCAA